rnacentral:rRNA from 1 species
GGGAAACUGCCUGAUGGAGGGGGAUAACUACUGGAAACGGUAGCUAAUACCGCAUGACCUCGCAAGAGCAAAGUGGGGGACCUUCGGGCCUCACGCCAUCGGAUGUGCCCAGAUGGGAUUAGCUAGUAGGUGGGGUAAUGGCUCACCUAGGCGACGAUCCCUAGCUGGUCUGAGAGGAUGACCAGCCGCACUGGAACUGAGACACGGUCCAGACUCCUACGGGAGGCAGCAGUGGGGAAUAUUGCACAAUGGGCGCAAGCCUGAUGCAGCCAUGCCGCGUGUGUGAAGAAGGCCUUCGGGUUGUAAAGCACUUUCAGCGAGGAGGAAGGGUAUCGUGUUAAUAGGACGGUACAUUGACGUUACUCGCAGAAGAAGCACCGGCUAACUCCGUGCCAGCAGCCGCGGUAAU